AUUGAACGCUGGCGGCAUGCCUUACACAUGCAAGUCGAACGGUAACGCGGGGCAACCUGGCGACGAGUGGCGAACGGGUGAGUAAUGUAUCGGAACGUGCCCAGUUGUGGGGGAUAACUGCUCGAAAGAGCAGCUAAUACCGCAUACGACCUGAGGGUGAAAGCGGGUGAUCGCAAGACCUCGCGCAAUUGGAGCGGCCGAUAUCAGAUUAGGUAGUUGGUGGGGUAAAGGCCCACCAAGCCAACGAUCUGUAGCUGGUCUGAGAGGACGACCAGCCGCACUGGGACUGAGACACGGCCCAGACUCCUACGGGAGGCAGCAGUGGGGAAUUUUGGACAAUGGACGCAAGUCUGAUCCAGCCAUGCCGCGUGCGGGAAGAAGGCCUUCGGGUUGUGAACCGCUUUUGUCAGGGAAGAAACGCUCUGGGUUAAUACCUCGGGGUAAUGACGGUACCUGAAGAAUAAGCACCGGCUAACUACGUGCCAGCAGCCGCGGUAAGAC
rnacentral:rRNA from 1 species